GCAGACCCUGGCGCGCCGCGGAGAAGCUCAAACUUUGGCAGGGUAAGGAUUUUUAGGGGCUCUUGAGCUGGAAUUUUUUGGGGGGCGCCGGGAGGUGUGCUGGGGCCGCAGACCCCAUACAGGAGGUAAGUUAGAGAACCACACGCAGGGGAGGGAUGCUGCUGCUUCCAGGGGCGGGCGCGGCGCUGUCCGCAGCCCCCGGUGCUGAAACGGGCCGCGGGCUGGAGAGAAAGUGAAAAAGGAUCGGCUACGGCCUCGGCUCCCACUCCCCGGCUCCCAUACCCCUCCAGUCCAGUUCAAAGGACAGGAAGCCCUCCCCGUGCUCCCCAAGCCGAUCGCACCCCCUUUUACUCACGUCCCACAGCCGCGCUGGGCCGAGCCCGCUGAGCCGUCGGGGCGGGAGGCAGAAGGAGCAGGGCUGGCUCCCGCUGGGGACGGGUAGGGCUUGCAGCCGCGACCCCACCCCAUACAUUUCCUCCUGUCACGCUGUCCCCGGACCGCCAGUCCGGGAAGGACCCACUUCCCCGGCUCCAAGUCGGGAGCGGGCGCCGCGUCUUCUCGAGUCCGCGCCGCGCCGGGGGAGGUUGAGUCAGUGGCCUGGAGGGAGCAGGGCCGGGGGAAGGCAGCGGCGAAGGACUGCCCCCCAACCCAGGGGACUAUUUUCCCUUGGGGAUUCAAAGAGAAAGACAGGAAUUGAAACUUUGCAGCUGACAUUUGGAAGCUUCCAUUUGCUCUUGUUAUAAAAAUGCUGGAGUUCAGAGAGAGAUAACUCUACCUUCCUGUCAUGAGAAAGUUUCUUUGGGAAACAAGACUCAACUCUCCCAACUCAGACUCGUUAUCUCCAUCAUGGUGGAGGGACCUUGAUGGGUUUGGGACAGCCACCAUAGAGAGGAGGAAUUGGAUUCUGACCUUCAUCUCCCUUCAUCACCUCACAGCUCAACCCUGAGCACAACAGGAUACACCCUUGUUGUCUAAGACUUGAACUGUCUUUUUGGGACCUUUCUUGGGCAGAUGGAGGAAGCUUUAAUACUUAUUGGUCCCAG
rnacentral:lncRNA from 1 species